rnacentral:tRNA from 1 species
GCGUCCGUAGCUCAGGUGGAUAGAGCAGUGGACUUCGAAUCCAAAGGUCGCAGGUUCAAGUCCUGCCGGGCGUGC